GGACCUGACUGCUAUCGGAUUGAUACUAAGCCAUGCGAGUCAUUGUAGCAAUACAAGGCAGACGGCUCAGUAACGCGUAGUCAACCUACCCUAUGGACGGGAAUAACCUCGGGAAACUGAGUAUAAUGCCCAAUAGAACAUUAUGCCUGGAAUGGUUUAUGUUCCAAAUGAUUUAUCGCCGUAGGAUGGGACUGCGGCCUAUCAGUUUGUUGGUGAGGUAAUGGCCCACCAAGACUAUUACAGGUACGGGCUCUGAGAGGAGUGGCCCGGAGAUGGGUACUGAGACACGGACCCAGGCCCUAUGGGGCGCAGCAGGCGAGAAAACUUUGCAAUGUGCGAAAGCACGACAAGGUUAAUCCGAGUGGUUUCUGCUAAAGGAACCUUUUGUCAGUCCUAGAAACACUGAUGAAUAAGGGGUGGGCAAGUUCUGGUGUAAGGG
rnacentral:rRNA from 1 species